rnacentral:rRNA from 1 species
GAACGGGUGAGUAACACGUAAAGAACCUGCCUCAUAGACUGGGACAACUAUUGGAAACGAUAGCUAAUACCGGAUAACAGCAUUAACUGCAUGGUUGAUGUUUAAAAGUUGGUUUUGCUAACACUAUGAGAUGGCUUUGCGGUGCAUUAGCUAGUUGGUGGAGUAAAGGCCUACCAAGGCGACGAUGCAUAGCCGACCUGAGAGGGUGAUCGGCCACACUGGGACUGAGACACGGCCCAGACUCCUACGGGAGGCAGCAGUAGGGAAUCUUCCGCAAUGGGCGAAAGCCUGACGGAGCAACGCCGCGUGAGUGAAGAAGGAUUUCGGUUCGUAAAGCUCUGUUGUUAGGGAAGAAUGAUUGUGUAGUAACUAUACACAGUAGAGACG